AUUGCCGUGUGACAGAUUGAGCAAGAGAGUAGAGAGAUCAUGACAUCAGAAUUCCUCCAUAGAGAAUAUGUUUUGUCCGGGUUUCAGAUUUCUUGUUGACAUCUCGAUAUUGGUGCACUUCAUCCGUUGAUUCUGGUGGCUCGAGUUGCAACGGGGGUGACAAAUAAGCAAACAACGAGCUUAGUGCUUUUUGAGAGUCGGAGAAAAACGACAGCACCCCAGCCAAUAGCGAGGCCGGAACAGAUACUUAAAGCGAAAGGAGGAGGGCCUAAGUAUCAACUCCAAACAGCCAAAAGCCACAAAAAUACUCACCUCCUUCCUACUUUCCUCCUUGUGGUUCAGUAAUGCUUCAUUGCUCUAGUCAGAACAGCAUUAAGUUAGAAUACCAAAAGAUUUAGCAAGGACCCAGAAAGUUUAGGAUUCUGAAAUGGCCUUAAGAGUGGAGGGUUCAAGAACAUUUCCGGCGUCCCAAUUGGAAGCCUGGGAUAUGAAUUUGAGAUCUCACUAAUUGUUUGUGGCCUUGACAUGCUGGCAUGGAAAAGUGAACGAGAAACCUGAUCACAAAGUAAAAGAACAGGUGUUAUGACAGAUGACAGUUGAUUGAUCACAGGACUCAAUCUAGUCAAAGGGUAUGUUGAGGCUAGUCUUUACAAACGGUAAAGGAUGAAAGGACAAAUGCCAAAAGAUUCUGCUGAUUUAUGCAAUAAUUUUGAGAAUGAGCUACCGAAAGAAGUGUUUCGAGCAUUUCUUAUCCGGAUAUUAAGGUUUUUGUAGGAUGCAAGAAGAUGCAUGAAUGCAAACUAAUCAAAGAAAAAUGAAUGGUGAAAGGAGAAGAUGGUCUCCAUUCCUUGCAGGUGAAGCUGCAACCAAGGGUUGCUGAUGAAAGCAUCUUUUCCUAUUCCAUCCUUCUUGUCCCAGCAGACAUUCUGUUGGGCUGUGGAAUCCAUCAACUGAACUGGCACGACACCAUCACCGUUGCUUUGCCUCUGAUC